rnacentral:lncRNA from 1 species
CAAAAAAUAUUAGUUUUGGAACAACUUAUUUGUCUUUUACAAGAAUUCAUUUUAACAAGCAUAUUUUGUUAGACUUGUUGAAUAAUUAUCAAUUCUUUUUUUAUAAUUUCUUAUGGCAAUUUUUAAAAGAUUUAUCUCUCUUUUUAAUUGUCCAAAUUUGAUAUGUUGGUUAGCUUUUAUGUAACGGCCCAAAAAUCACGGCUAAAAAUUUCUUUUAAACAUUACUAAAAAUAGAUUUAUAACAACGUAUCAUAAGUCAAACAUAACGUUUGAGUAUUAAAUUCAAAACAUAAUAUCAUUAUCAGAGUCAAACAUUCCCAGGCUAACUGACUAUGGUGUGUGCUCUGCAAUCUUCCCGAGCUCCUCUUUUGAAAACCAAGUACCUGAAACCAAAACUGAAAACCGUAAGCACGAAGCUUAGUGAGCUCCCCCAAUCUACCACAUACCACACAAAAACAUAUAAAUCACAUAUUGGGCCUUGCCCACUGCAUCGGACCGAAGUCCGGACUAUCUGGGGCCUUGCCCCCUACAUCGAACCGAAGUCCGAAGCUGACAUCGGACCGAAGUCCGAAGCUAACUGACUGGGGCCUUGCCCCCUCCAUCGGACCGAAAUCCAAAGCUAACUGUCUGGGACCUUGUCCCCUCCAUCAGACCGAAGUCCGAAGCUGACAUCAGACCGAAAUCCGAAGCUAACUGACUGGGGCCUUGCCCCCUCCAUCGGACCAAAAUCCGAAGCUAACUGUCUGGGACCUUGUCCCCUCCAUCAGACCGAAGUCCGAAGCUGACAUCGGACCGAAAUCCGAAGCUAACUGACUGGGGCCUUGCCCCCUCCAUCGGACCGAAAUCCGAAGCUAACUGUCUGGGAC